UACGUAGGGUGCGAGCGUUGUCCGGAAUUAUUGGGCGUAAAGGGCUCGUAGGCGGUUUGUCGCGUCGGGAGUGAAAACACACAGCUUAACUGUGUGCUUGCUUCCGAUACGGGCAGACUAGAGGUAUGCAGGGGAGAACGGAAUUCCUGGUGUAGCGGUGAAAUGCGCAGAUAUCAGGAGGAACACCGGUGGCGAAGGCGGUUCUCUGGGCCGAUACUGACGCUGAGGCGCGAAAGCUAGGGGAGCAAACAGG
rnacentral:rRNA from 1 species